rnacentral:rRNA from 1 species
UGAGCAACCUACCGAUUUGUGGGGGAUAGCUGGCCUAACGGCCAGGUAAUACCGCAUAUGAUGAUCGGCCCGCAUGGGCCGAUCAUCAAACUCCUUAUACGAGGCAAAUCGAGGGGCUCGCGGCCUAUCAGCUAGUUGGCGAGGUCACGGCUCACCAAGGCGACGACGGGUAGCUGGUCUGAGAGGAUGGCCAGCCACAUUGGGACUGAGACCAGGCCCAG